rnacentral:rRNA from 1 species
AGAGCUUGCUCUCGGGUGACGAGCGGCGGACGGGUGAGUAAUGUCUGGGAAACUGCCUGAUGGAGGGGGAUAACUACUGGAAACGGUAGCUAAUACCGCAUAACGUCGCAAGACCAAAGUGGGGGACCUUCGGGCCUCAUGCCAUCAGAUGUGCCCAGAUGGGAUUAGCUAGUAGGUGGGGUAACGGCUCACCUAGGCGACGAUCCCUAGCUGGUCUGAGAGGAUGACCAGCCACACUGGAACUGAGACACGGUCCAGACUCCUACGGGAGGCAGCAGUGGGGAAUAUUGCACAAUGGGCGCAAGCCUGAUGCAGCCAUGCCGCGUGUGUGAAGAAGGCCUUCGGGUUGUAAAGCACUUUCAGCGGGGAGGAAGGCGAUAAGGUUAAUAACCUUGUCGAUUGACGUUACCCGCAGAAGAAGCACCGGCUAACUCCGUGCCAGCAGCCGCGGUAAUACGGAGGGUGCAAGCGUUAAUCGGAAUUACUGGGCGUAAAGCGCACGCAGGCGGUCUGUCAAGUCGGAUGUGAAAUCCCCGGGCUCAACCUGGGAACUGCAUUCGAAACUGGCAGGCUAGAGUCUUGUAGAGGGGGGUAGAAUUCCAGAUGUAGCGGUGAAAUGCGUAGAGAUCUGGAGGAAUACCGGUGGCGAAGGCGGCCCCCUGGACAAAGACUGACGCUCAGGUGCGAAAGCGUGGGGAGCAAACAGGAUUAGAUACCCUGGUAGUCCACGCCGUAAACGAUGUCGAUUUGGAGGUUGUGCCCUUGAGGCGUGGCUUCCGGAGCUAACGCGUUAAAUCGACCGCCUGGGGAGUACGGCCGCAAGGUUAAAACUCAAAUGAAUUGACGGGGGCCCGCACAAGCGGUGGAGCAUGUGGUUUAAUUCGAUGCAACGCGAAGAACCUUAACUGGUCUUGACAUCCACAGAACUUAGCAGAGAUGCUUUGGUGCCUUCGGGAACUGUGAGACAGGUGCUGCAUGGCUGUCGUCAGCUCGUGUUGUGAAAUGUUGGGUUAAGUCCCGCAACGAGCGCAACCCUUAUCCUUUGUUGCCAGCGGUCCGGCCGGGAACUCAAAGGAGACUGCCAGUGAUAAACUGGAGGAAGGUGGGGAUGACGUCAAGU